ACGUGGACCACGCGUACGCUGCGGUUCCCGCGCGCCGUCCGUACCCAGCUGACGACGGCGCGCUGCGUCUCACCAGUC
rnacentral:sRNA from 1 species